ACGCUCGGAUCUGUGAUAAAUGAU
rnacentral:siRNA from 1 species